AUACUUACUUAGCAGGGAAGAUACCAUGAUCACAAAGGUGGUUUUCCCAGGGCAAGGCUUAUCCAUUGCAAUCCAGAUGUGCUGACCCCUGUGAUCUCCCCAAAUGCGGGGAAACUCGACUGAAUAAUUUGUGGUAGUGGGGGACUGCGUUAGCGAUCUCCCCUG
ensembl:snRNA U1 U1 spliceosomal RNA